rnacentral:rRNA from 1 species
UACGAAGGGGGCUAGCGUUGCUCGGAAUGACUGGGCGUAAAGGGCGCGUAGGCGGUUUGUACAGUCAGGUGUGAAAUUCCCGGGCUCAACCUGGGGGCGGCACUUGAGACGUAGGAACUGGAGUGAGGAAGAGGGUCGUGGAAUUCCCAGUGUAGAGGUGAAAUUCGUAGAUAUUGGGAAGAACACCGGUGGCGAAGGCGGCAUCCUGGACCGAGAUUGACGCUGAUGCGCGAAAGCCAGGGGAGCAAAGCGGG